rnacentral:rRNA from 1 species
CCCCCAGCCUGCAGUGGGUACGGGCAGACUAGAGUGCGGUAGGGGAGAUUGGAAUUCCUGGUGUAGCGGUGGAAUGCGCAGAUAUCAGGAGGAACACCGAUGGCGAAGGCAGAUCUCUGGGCCGUAACUGACGCUGAGGAGCGAAAGGGUGGGGAGCAAACAGGCUUAGAUACCCUGGUAGUCCACCCCGUAAACGUUGGGAACUAGUUGUGGGGUCCAUUCCACGGAUUCCGUGACGCAGCUAACGCAUUAAGUUCCCCGCCUGGGGAGUACGGCCGCAAGGCUAAAACUCAAAGGAAUUGACGGGGACCCGCACAAGCGGCGGAGCAUGCGGAUUAAUUCGAUGCAACGCGAAGAACCUUACCAAGGCUUGACAUAUACGAGAACGGGCCAGAAAUGGUCAACUCUUUGGACACUCGUAAACAGGUGGUGCAUGGUUGUCGUCAGCUCGUGUCGUGAGAUGUUGGGUUAAGUCCCGCAACGAGCGCAACCCUCGUUCUAUGUUGCCAGCACGUAAUGGUGGGAACUCAUGGGAUACUGCCGGGGUCAACUCGGAGGAAGGUGGGGAUGACGUCAAAUCAUCAUGCCCCUUAUGUCUUGGGCUUCACGCAUGCUACAAUGGCCGGUACAAAGGGCUGCAAUACCGUAAGGUGGAGCGAAUCCCAAAAAGCCGGUCCCAGUUCGGAUUGAGGUCUGCAACUCGACCUCAUGAAGUCGGAGUCGCUAGUAAUCGCAGAUCAGCAACGCUGCGGUGAAUACGUUCCCGGGUCUUGUACACACCGCCCGUCAAGUCAUGAAAGUCGGUAACACCUGAAGCCGGU